CUUGCUUUUUCUGGAUUAGUGGCGAACGGGUGAGUAACACGUGAGCAAUCUGCCCUUGACUCUGGGAUAAGCGUUGGAAACGACGUCUAAUACCGGAUACGACCCUCGGAGGCAUCUCCUGGGGGUGGAAAGAAUUUUGGUCAAGGAUGAGCUCGCGGCCUAUCAGCUAGUUGGUGAGGUAAUGGCUCACCAAGGCGACGACGGGUAGCCGGCCUGAGAGGGUGACCGGCCACACUGGGACUGAGACACGGCCCAGACUCCUACGGGAGGCAGCAGUGGGGAAUAUUGCACAAUGGGCGAAAGCCUGAUGCAGCAACGCCGCGUGAGGGAUGACGGCCUUCGGGUUGUAAACCUCUUUUAGUAGGGAAGAAGCGAAAGUGACGGUACCUGCAGAAAAAGCACCGGCUAACUACGUGCCAGCAGCCGCGGUAAUACGUAGGGUGCAAGCGUUGUCCGGAAUUAUUGGGCGUAAAGAGCUCGUAGGCGGUUUGUCGCGUCUGCUGUGAAAUCUGGGGGCUCAACCCCCAGCCUGCAGUGGGUACGGGCAGACUAGAGUGCGGUAGGGGAGAUUGGAAUUCCUGGUGUAGCGGUGGAAUGCGCAGAUAUCAGGAGGAACACCGAUGGCGAAGGCAGAUCUCUGGGCCGUAACUGACGCUGAGGAGCGAAAGCAUGGGGAGCGAACA
rnacentral:rRNA from 1 species